rnacentral:rRNA from 1 species
AAUGAACGCUGGCGGCAGGCCUAACACUUGCAAGUCGAACGGAUCCUUCGGGAUUAGUGGCGGACGGGUGAGUAACGCGUGGGAACAUACCCUUUGGUACGGAAUAGCCUCGGGAAACUGGGAGUAAUACCGUAUGUGGUCGAGAGACGAAAGAUUUAUCGCCAAAGGAUUGGCCCGCGUUGGAUUAGGUAGUUGGUGGGGUAAUGGCCUACCAAGCCGACGAUCCAUAGCUGGUUUGAGAGGAUGAUCAGCCACACUGGAACUGAGACACGGCCCAGACUCCUACGGGAGGCAGCAGUGGGGAAUCUUAGACAAUGGGGGAAACCCUGAUCUAGCCAUGCCGCGUGAUCGAUGAAGGCCUUAGGGUUGUAAAGAUCUUUCAGGUGGGAAGAUAAUGACUGUACCACCAGAAGAAGCCCCGGCUAACUCCGUGCCAGCCGCCGCAGUAA